UACGGAGGUGGCAAGCGUUGUUCGGAUUUACUGGGUGUAAAGGGUGCGUAGGUGGUCAGGCAAGUCAGGUGUGAAAUCCCACGGCUCAACCGUGGAACUGCGCUUGAAACUGCUUGGCUUGAGUGCAUGAGAGGAGAGGGGAAUUCUCGGUGUAAGGGUGAAAUCUGUAGAUAUCGAGAGGAACACCAGCGGCGAAGGCGCCUCUCUGGCGUGCAACUGACACUGAUGCACGAAAGCGUGGGGAGCAAACAGG
rnacentral:rRNA from 1 species